rnacentral:tRNA from 1 species
AAAAGAUUUAGUAUUAAAAUAAGAGAUUUCUAAUCUAGUUAUUGAAAAAUUUACAGUUUUUCAUCUUUUU